UACGUAGGGACCGAGCGUUGUCCGGAAUCAUUGGGCGUAAAGAGCGUGUAGGCGGCCACUUAAGUCCUGACGUGAAAUCUUGCGGCUCAACCGCAAGCGGUCGUGGGAAACUGGUGGCUAGAGUGCGGGAGAGGAGAGUGGAAUUCCUGGUGUAGCGGUGGAAUGCGCAGAUAGUCAGGAAGAACACCCGUGGCGAAGGCGGCUCUCUGGAACGCAACUGACGCUGAGACGCGAAAGCGUGGGGAGCAAACAGG
rnacentral:rRNA from 1 species